UGUUGCUGAGAUAAAACGAAGCUACACUGAGCUGGCACCACAAGAUUACAAGGGCCAAUUAAAAGUGGAAAGUCAGAAGCAGCACUCGCUUGUUUCAAUACAUUAUAUUUUGUUCUACCUGUUGUUAUGAAGUG